GAUGAAGAACGCAGCGAAAUGCGACAAGUAAUGUGAAUUGCAGAAUUCCGUGAAUCAUCGAAUCUUUGAACGCACAUUGCGCCCGCUAGUAUUCUGGCGGGCAUGCCUGUCCGAGCGUCAUUUCAACCCUCAAGCCCUCGGGCUUGGUGUUGGGGAUCGGCGAGCCUCCGCGCCCGCCGUCCCCUAAAUCUAGUGGCGGUCUCGCUGUAGCUUCCUCUGCGUAGUAGCACACCUCGCACUGGGAAACAGCGCGGCCACGCCGUUAAACCCCCAACUUCUGAACGUUUGACCUCGGAUCAGGUAGGAAUACCCGCUGAACUUAAGCAUAUCAAUAAGCGGAGGA
rnacentral:misc_RNA from 1 species